CACCCAACAACUAGCCUUACUUCAAAACACAAAAAACAACUAUUUAUACCCUCUAAUGUACUAAAUCAAACAAAACAAAUCAUUUUUCCCCCUAAGUAUGGGCGACAGAAAAGGACCUAUAGAGCUAUAGACAAAGUACCGUAAGGGAACGCUGAAAAAGAAAUGAAACAACCCAGUUAAAGUAUUAAAAAGCAGAGAUUAGCCCUCGUACCUUUUGCAUCAUGAUUUAGCUAGAAAACUUUAGGCAAAAAGCACUUUAGUCUAACCCCCCGAAACUGAGCGAGCUACUCCAAGACAGCCUGCAUAGGGCACAUCCAUCUCUGUGGCAAAAGAGUGGAAAGAGCUUCGAGUAGUGGUGACAAGCCUACCGAGCCCAGUUAUAGCUGGUUGCCCGAGAAUUGAGUUUAAGCUCAGCUUUUUAGUUUCUUACCUCACCAGUUAAAAACAAACCCGACCUCAAGAAACCAAAAAAGUUAGUCAAGGGGGGUACAGCCCCCUUGACCAAAGAAACAACUCUUCCAGGAGAAUAAGGAUCAUAAUAAAUAAGGCCACAUGUUUAGGUGGGCUUAGAAGCAGCCACCCUAUGAAAGCGUCAAAGCUCAAAACAUUCCUUGCCACAAAUCCAGAUAACAUACCCCAACCCCUGACCCCUAUCGGGCCUUUCUAUGCAAACAUAGAAGAGACCAUGCUAAUAUGAGUAAUAAGGGGACCCCUCCCCCUCCUAGCACAAGUGUACAUCGGAACGAACCCCCACCGAAACUUAACGAGCCCUACCAAAGAGGGUAAUGAACCCCUAAACUAAAUAACCAGAAAUACACUCACCCACCUCGCCGUUAACCCCACACUGGCGUGCCCAACCGGAAAGACUAAAAGAAAAAGAAGGAACUCGGCAAACCCCUAAGCCCCGCCUGUUUACCAAAAACAUCGCCUCUUGUAGUAUAAUAAAUAAGAGGUCCCGCCUGCCCCGUGACUUCUACGUUUAACGGCCGCGGUAUUCUGACCGUGCAAAGGUAGCGCAAUCACUUGUCCUUUAAAUGAGGACCUGUAUGAACGGCACGACGAGGGCUUAACUGUCUCCUUUUCCAAGUCAAUGAAAUUGAUCUUCCCGUGCAGAAGCGGGAAUAUAAACAUAAGACGAAAAGACCCUAUGGAGCUUUAGACAUAAUCAGACCACGUCAAACACCCUUGAACAAAAGAACAAACAAGUGAGACCUGCCCAAAUGUCUUUGGUUGGGGCGACCACGGGGCAACAAAAAACCCCCACGUGGAAUAAAAACAUUCUUUUUAAAACCAAGAGCCACCGCUCUAAUUAACAGAACAUCUGACCAAACAGAUCCGGCCAAGCCGAUCAACGAACCGAGUUACCCUAGGGAUAACAGCGCAAUCCUCUUCCAGAGACCAUAUCGACAAGAGGGUUUACGACCUCGAUGUUGGAUCAGGACAUCCUAAUGGUGCAGCCGCUAUUAAGGGUUCGUUUGUUCAACGAUUAAAGUCCUACGUGAUCUGAGUUCAGACCGGAGUAAUCCAGGUCAGUUUCUAUCUAUGACGUGACCUUUUCUAGUACGAAAGGAUUGAAAAGAGAGGGCCCCUAUCAAAAACACGCCCCCCUCUCACCUGCUGCACCCAACUAAAACAGACAAGAGAGCACAUAAAAUAGUCAAAGAACAUGACAU
rnacentral:rRNA from 1 species